AACUGUAGAGGAAUAGCCUAAAUGCUUGAGAUCCUGUCUAAUCUUGGAAGCUAAGCAGGCUCAGCCCUGGUUAGUACUUGGAUGGGAAGCCACCAAUGAAAACCUGAUUCUGUAGACU
rnacentral:rRNA from 1 species